rnacentral:misc_RNA from 1 species
CGUAGUGUUGUAGACGAUAAUUCUCUCCCUCUCUCUCUCUCUCCCUCUCUCUCCUCUUUUUCUCUUUCCUCCUCCUUUCAUUCCGUUCACAUUUCUAAUCAAGAUUUUCAGUCUCAGUUUUGUCGUGCAGUCUCUCCCAGCUCAUCGUCGAGGAUCGUUCAUUCUUUUAAAACACAACAGUAAACUUUGACUUCUAUCUUUCGUUCUGAGGUCUUCAUUUAUCGAUUAUCCGGAAGUACUGCAGAUAAAAGAAGAAAUGUCUCCCACUCAGUAUUAUCACGUGCAGUGCACGCCGACCGUCUACCCGGCUGACCCUUUCAACGCCGAAGAAGAUGCAGCUCUGUUGAGAACAGCGAUGAAGGGUUUUGGUACCGAUGAACAAGCAAUUAUCGAUGUCCUAGCUCAUCGUGGAAUUGUUCAACGUAUGGAAAUUGCAGAGAAAUUUAAAACGAUGUACGGCAAAGAUCUAAUCUCCGAAUUGAAGUCCGAACUUGGCGGGAAUUUUGAAAAAGCUAUUGUCGCCUUGAUGACACCUUUACCAGAAUUUUAUGCCAAAGAAUUGCACGAUGCAAUUUCUGGUAUGGGUACGGACGAAGGUGCACUCAUUGAAGUUCUUGCAUCUCUCAGCAAUUAUGGCGUCAAAACGAUAGCUGCUGUUUACAAAGAGUUAUAUGGCUCUGAAUUGGAGGAUGACCUCAAAAGUGAUACUUCCGGUCAUUUCAAGAGGCUCCUGGUUUCACUAUCAUGCGCAAACAGAGAUGAAAGUUCGGAAGUUGACUUAGCAGCCGCAACAGAGGAUGCAGAGAAAUUAUUAUCUGCUGGUGAAGAACAAUGGGGAACUGAUGAGAGUACAUUUAACGCUGUACUGAUUACGAGAAGUUUCCCACAAUUAAGACAAAUUUUUAAAGAAUACGAACGCCUUGCUGGCCAUUCCUUGGAAGAAGCUAUCAAGCAAGAAUUUUCAGGUUCUCUAGAAGAUGGUUAUCUCGCAGUUGUAAAAUGCGCUCGAGACAAAACUGGGUACUUUGCAGAAAGACUUUACAAAGCUAUGAAUGGAAUUGGUACGACUGAUUCAACUUUAAUACGAAUAAUAGUAGCUAGAUCAGAAAUUGAUUUGGGUGACAUCAAGGAGGAUUAUCAAAAGGUUUAUGGAACAUCGCUUGCAGGUGACAUCGAUGAUGACACUUCCGGUGACUACAAGAGACUCUUGCUUGCCCUACUCGGAUGAAAACGUUCCGAUCGUUCAACAACUAUUUUUUGCUUUUUAAAUCGUAUUUUAAUACUAUGGAUGAUACGUAAUGAUUUUUAGUUCUAAACUUUUUUAGAAAGUUCAUUAAUUUCUUCUAAAUAUAUUAUUAUCACGAUCGAGAGGGUGAAUAUGAUUUGACAUAUCAUGCUGUUCUGCGUUCUCUAAAAUGGUAUUAUACGAACCUUUCAAAAGAAAGGAUUAAUCGAAGCCUUACGAGAUAAAGGUUGUAAGCUAUUAUCAAGAAAAAACAAAGAAAAAUAUGUAUUUCCAAAUUUUUCGUUAGUUUAUAAAUUUGUCGAUUAGCAUUCGAUCAUUACGUUAUCCGAUUUAUAGCUUUCACAGUUAGGGGCUUCGAUAAAUGAAAAUGUAAUUGUAACAUGAGGGUUGUGCCGAGUAAUUAAUAAUACAUACAAUUAAUACAAACAUAUACACGUGUGUAAAUUAACCAAGUAUACUAAUUGCAAUUUAUUUUUUCGAGCAUGCAUGCACAUGUAUACUUUGGCGUGUGGUAUACGUUUCUUUAUAUAUUAUAUAUAUAUAUACAUAAAUAUAGAUAUAAUAUAUAUGUGAAUACAAGGAAAAAUUAUGGUACAAAUAUUCGCGCACGAUUGCUUCUAUAUUAACGCAAACUAUAAUUUAGUUCCAAAAAUUCUUUCUUUUACGUUUACAGAGCGACUGCAGCGAAGACUUUAAACGGCUUCUGAUCGCACUUUUGAAUUAAUGACAAAUUACACACGGUGACUUUCUUCUUAUCCGAGAGAGAUAAUCUAUCUCAUGCAUCCUUUAUUUUAAGUAUUUAAUCAUUUGCGUAUCUCGCUAUCAAUGUAAUAUCUAUAUUUGUUUUUAAUAAAUAUGCAUGUGUGCCAAUAA